UACAGAGGUCUCAAGCGUUGUUCGGAUUCAUUGGGCGUAACGAGCGCGCAGGCGGCUGGUCAAGUCCGAUGUGAAAUCUCCCGGCUCAACUGGGAAACUGCAUCGGAAACUGAUCGGCUUGAAGAUGGGAGAGGGUAGUGGAAUUCCCGGUGUAGUGGUGAAAUGCGUAGAGAUCCGGAGGAACACCAGCGGCGAAGGCGGCAUCCUGGACUGGUCCUGACACUCAGGAGCGAAAGCGUGGGGAGCGAUCCGG
rnacentral:rRNA from 1 species